rnacentral:rRNA from 1 species
AGUGAACGCUGGCGGUAGGCCUAACACAUGCAAGUCGAACGGCAGCACAGUAAGAGCUUGCUCUUACGGGUGGCGAGUGGCGGACGGGUGAGGAAUACAUCGGAAUCUACUUUUUCGUGGGGGAUAACGUAGGGAAACUUACGCUAAUACCGCAUACGACCUACGGGUGAAAGCAGGGGAUCUUCGGACCUUGCGCGAUUGAAUGAGCCGAUGUCGGAUUAGCUAGUUGGCGGGGUAAAGGCCCACCAAGGCGACGAUCCGUAGCUGGUCUGAGAGGAUGAUCAGCCACACUGGAACUGCGACACGGUCCAGAUUCCUACGGGAGGCAGCAGUGGGGAAUAUUGGACAAUGGGCGCAAGCCUGAUCCAGCCAUACCGCGUGGGUGAUGAAGGCCUUCGGGUUGUAAAGCCUUUUUGUUGGGAAAGAAAAGCAGCAGGUUAAUACCCCGCUGUUCUGACGGUACCCAAAGAAUAAGCACCGGCUAACUUCGUG